GACGAACGCUGGCGGCGUGCUUAACACAUGCAAGUCGAACGGAAAGGCCCUGCUUUUGUGGGGUGCUCGAGUGGCGAACGGGUGAGUAACACGUGAGUAACCUGCCCUUGACUUUGGGAUAACUUCAGGAAACUGGGGCUAAUACCGGAUAGGAGCUCCUGCUGCAUGGUGGGGGUUGGAAAGUUUCGGCGGUUGGGGAUGGACUCGCGGCUUAUCAGCUGGUUGGUGGGGUAGUGGCUUACCAAGGCUUUGACGGGUAGCCGGCCUGGGAGGGUGACCGGCCACAUUGGGACUGAGAUACGGCCCAGACUCCUACGGGAGGCAGCAGUGGGGAACAUUGCACAAUGGGCGGAAGCCUGAUGCAGCAACGCCGCGUGCGGGAUGACGGCCUUCGGGUUGUAAACCGCUUUCGCCUGUGACGAAGCGUGAGUGACGGUAAUGGGUAAAGAAGCACCGGCUAACUACGUG
rnacentral:rRNA from 1 species